rnacentral:rRNA from 1 species
UGCUGGAGGUAUCAGAAGUGCGAAUGCUGACAUAAGUAACGAUAAAGCGGGUGAAAAGCCCGCUCGCCGGAAGACCAAGGGUUCCUGUCCAACGUUAAUCGGGGCAGGGUGAGUCGACCCCUAAGGCGAGGCCGAAAGGCGUAGUCGAUGGGAAACAGGUUAAUAUUCCUGUACUUGGUGUUACUGCGAAGGGGGGACGGAGAAGGCUAUGUUAGCCGGGCGACGGUUGUCCCGGUUUAAGCAUGUAGGCUGGUUGUCCAGGCAAAUCCGGAUAAUCAAGGCUGAGGUGUGAUGACGAGGCACUACGGUGCUGAAGUAACAAAUGCCCUGCUUCCAGGAAAAGCCUCUAAGCAUCAGGUAACAUCAAAUCGUACCCCAAACCGACACAGGUGGUCAGGUAGAGAAUACCAAGGCGCUUGAGAGAACUCGGGUGAAGGAACUAGGCAAAAUGGUGCCGUAACUUCGGGAGAAGGCACGCUGGUGUGUAGGUGAAGCCCCUGCGGGUGGAGCUGAGACCAGUCGAAGAUACCAGCUGGCUGCAACUGUUUAUUAAAAACACAGCACUGUGCAAACACGAAAGUGGACGUAUACGGUGUGACGCCUGCCCGGUGCCGGAAGGUUAAUUGAUGGGGUUAUCCGUAAGGAGAAGCUCUUGAUCGAAGCCCCGGUAAACGGCGGCCGUAACUAUAACGGUCCUAAGGUAGCGAAAUUCCUUGUCGGGUAAGUUCCGACCUGCACGAAUGGCGUAAUGAUGGCCAGGCUGUCUCCACCCGAGACUCAGUGAAAUUGAACUCGCUGUGAAGAUGCAGUGUACCCGCGGCAAGACGGAAAGACCCCGUGAACCUUUACUAUAGCUUGACACUGAACAUUGAGCCUUGAUGUGUAGGAUAGGUGGGAGGCUUUGAAGCGUGGACGCCAGUCUGCGUGGAGCCAACCUUGAAAUACCACCCUUUAAUGUUUGAUGUUCUAACGUUGGCCCCUUACCGGGGUUGCGGACAGUGUCUGGUGGGUAGUUUGACUGGGGCGGUCUCCUCCCAAAGCGUAACGGAGGAGCACGAAGGUUAGCUAAUCCUGGUCGGACAUCAGGAGGUUAGUGCAAUGGCAUAAGCUAGCUUGACUGCGAGCGUGACGGCGCGAGCAGGUGCGAAAGCAGGUCAUAGUGAUCCGGUGGUUCUGAAUGGAAGGGCCAUCGCUCAACGGAUAAAAGGUACUCCGGGGAUAACAGGCUGAUACCGCCCAAGAGUUCAUAUCGACGGCGGUGUUUGGCACCUCGAUGUCGGCUCAUCACAUCCUGGGGCUGAAGUAGGUCCCAAGGGUAUGGCUGUUCGCCAUUUAAAGUGGUACGCGAGCUGGGUUUAGAACGUCGUGAGACAGUUCGGUCCCUAUCUGCCGUGGGCGCUGGAGAAUUGAGGGGGGCUGCUCCUAGUACGAGAGGACCGGAGUGGACGCAUCACUGGUGUUCGGGUUGUCAUGCCAAUGGCACUGCCCGGUAGCUAAAUGCGGAAGAGAUAAGUGCUGAAAGCAUCUAAGCACGAAACUUGCCCCGAGAUGAGUUCUCCCUGAGACU